UAUGGUCGACCUGCAGGCGGCCGCGAAUUCACUAGUGAUUAGAGUUUGAUCAUGGCUCAGGAUGAACGCUAACGGCAGGCUUAAUACAUGCAAGUCGAGGGGCAGCAGGUCUGUAGCAAUACAGAUGCUGGCGACCGGCAAACGGGUGCGGAACACGUACGCAACUUACCCUCAUCUGGGGCAUAGCCCGGGGAAACCCGGAUUAACUCCCCAUAAGAUAGUGGAGUGGCAUCACUCAGCUAUUAAAACUCAGGUGGAUGGGGAUGGGCGUGCGGCCCAUUAGAUAGUUGGUGGGGUAACGGCUCACCAAGUCUGCGAUGGGUAACUGGUGUGAGAGCACGACCAGUCACACGGGCACUGAGACACGGGCCCGACUCCUACGGGAGGCAGCAGUAAGGAAUAUUGGUCAAUGGAGGCAACUCUGAACCAGCC
rnacentral:rRNA from 1 species